rnacentral:rRNA from 1 species
UACGUAGGGGGGCAAGCGUUGUCCGGAUUUAUUGGGCGUAAAGCGCGCGUAGGCGGUUACUUAAGUCGGAUGUGAAAGCCCCUCGGCUUAACUGAGGAAGUGCACCCGAAACUGAGUAGCUAGAGUACGAAAGAGGGUCGCGGAAUUCCCGGUGUAGAGGUGAAAUUCGUAGAUAUCGGGAGGAACACCGGUGGCGAAGGCGGCGACCUGGGUCGAGACUGACGCUGAGGCGCGAAAGCGUGGGAGCAAACAGGAUAGAAACC